UACGAAGGGGGCUAGCGUUGCUCGGAAUCACUGGGCGUAAAGGGUGCGUAGGCGGGUCUUAAGUCAGGGGUGAAAUCCUGGAGCUCAACUCCAGAACUGCCUUUGAUACUGAAGGUCUUGAGUUCGGGAGAGGUGAGUGGAACUGCGAGUGUAGAGGUGAAAUUCGUAGAUAUUCGCAAGAACACCAGUGGCGAAGGCGGCUCACUGGCCCGAUACUGACGCUGAGGCACGAAAGCGUGGGGAGCAACAGGG
rnacentral:rRNA from 1 species